CCUACGGGGGGCAGCAGUGGGGAAUAUUGGACAAUGGGGGGAACCCUGAUCCAGCCAUGCCGCGUGUGUGAAGAAGGCCCUCGGGUUGUAAAGCACUUUCAGUGAGGAAGAACGCCUGGUGGUUAAUACCCAUCAGGAAAGACAUCACUCACAGAAGAAGCACCGGCUAACUCCGUGCCAGCAGCCGCGGUAAUACGGAGGGUGCGAGCGUUAAUCGGAAUUACUGGGCGUAAAGCGCGCGUAGGUGGCUUGAUAAGCCGGUUGUGAAAGCCCCGGGCUCAACCUGGGAACGGCAUCCGGAACUGUCAAGCUAGAGUGCAGGAGAGGAAGGUAGAAUUCCCUGUGUAGCGGUGAAAUGCGUAGAGAUCGGGAGGAAUACCAGUGGCGAAGGCGGCCUUCUGGACUGACACUGACACUGAGGUGCGAAAGCGUGGGUAGCAAACAGGAUUAGAUACCCUUGUAGUC
rnacentral:rRNA from 1 species